UCCUCCUACGGGGCGCAGCAGUGAGGAAUAUUGGUCAAUGGACGAGAGUCUGAACCAGCCCCUUCUCGUGCCGGAUGACUGCCCUAUGGGUUGUAAACCUCUUUUGCCGGGGAGCAACGGGCGCCACGUGUGGCGCCACUGAGAGUACCCGGAGAAAAAGCAUCGGCUAACUCCGUGCCAGCAGCCGCGGUAAUACGGAGGAUGCGAGCGUUAUCCGGAUUUAUUGGGUUUAAAGGGUGCGUAGGCGGAUCGUUAAGUCAGUGGUCAAAUUGAGGGGCUCAACCCCUUCCCGCCAUUGAAACUGG
rnacentral:rRNA from 1 species